rnacentral:rRNA from 1 species
AUGCUGGAGGUAUCAGAAGUGCGAAUGCUGACAUAAGUAACGAUAAAGCGGGUGAAAAGCCCGCUCGCCGGAAGACCAAGGGUUCCUGUCCAACGUUAAUCGGGGCAGGGUGAGUCGACCCCUAAGGCGAGGCCGAAAGGCGUAGUCGAUGGGAAACAGGUUAAUAUUCCUGUACUUGGUGUUACUGCGAAGGGGGGACGGAGAAGGCUAUGUUGGCCGGGCGACGGUUGUCCCGGUUUAAGCGUGUAGGCUGGUUUUCCAGGCAAAUCCGGAAAAUCAAGGCUGAGGCGUGAUGACGAGGCACUACGGUGCUGAAGCAACAAAUGCCCUGCUUCCAGGAAAAGCCUCUAAGCAUCAGGUAACAUCAAAUCGUACCCCAAACCGACACAGGUGGUCAGGUAGAGAAUACCAAGGCGCUUGAGAGAACUCGGGUGAAGGAACUAGGCAAAAUGGUGCCGUAACUUCGGGAGAAGGCACGCUGAUAUGUAGGUGAAGCGACUUGCUCGUGGAGCUGAAAUCAGUCGAAGAUACCAGCUGGCUGCAACUGUUUAUUAAAAACACAGCACUGUGCAAACACGAAAGUGGACGUAUACGGUGUGACGCCUGCCCGGUGCCGGAAGGUUAAUUGAUGGGGUUAGCGCAAGCGAAGCUCUUGAUCGAAGCCCCGGUAAACGGCGGCCGUAACUAUAACGGUCCUAAGGUAGCGAAAUUCCUUGUCGGGUAAGUUCCGACCUGCACGAAUGGCGUAAUGAUGGCCAGGCUGUCUCCACCCGAGACUCAGUGAAAUUGAACUCGCUGUGAAGAUGCAGUGUACCCGCGGCAAGACGGAAAGACCCCGUGAACCUUUACUAUAGCUUGACACUGAACAUUGAGCCUUGAUGUGUAGGAUAGGUGGGAGGCUUUGAAGUGUGGACGCCAGUCUGCAUGGAGCCGACCUUGAAAUACCACCCUUUAAUGUUUGAUGUUCUAACGUUGACCCGUAAUCCGGGUUGCGGACAGUGUCUGGUGGGUAGUUUGACUGGGGCGGUCUCCUCCUAAAGAGUAACGGAGGAGCACGAAGGUUGGCUAAUCCUGGUCGGACAUCAGGAGGUUAGUGCAAUGGCAUAAGCCAGCUUGACUGCGAGCGUGACGGCGCGAGCAGGUGCGAAAGCAGGUCAUAGUGAUCCGGUGGUUCUGAAUGGAAGGGCCAUCGCUCAACGGAUAAAAGGUACUCCGGGGAUAACAGGCUGAUACCGCCCAAGAGUUCAUAUCGACGGCGGUGUUUGGCACCUCGAUGUCGGCUCAUCACAUCCUGGGGCUGAAGUAGGUCCCAAGGGUAUGGCUGUUCGCCAUUUAAAGUGGUACGCGAGCUGGGUUUAGAACGUCGUGAGACAGUUCGGUCCCUAUCUGCCGUGGGCGCUGGAGAACUGAGGGGGGCUGCUCCUAGUACGAGAGGACCGGAGUGGACGCAUCACUGGUGUUCGGGUUGUCAUGCCAAUGGCACUGCCCGGUAGCUAAAUGCGGAAGAGAUAAGUGCUGAAAGCAUCUAAGCACGAAACUUGCCCCGAGAUGAGUUCUCCCUGAC